UCCCUCUGGACCUGUUAAUUAUGCUUAAUCAAGACCAUAGGACAUUGCCAUAAGGGUAGGGACACAGCACCUGCCCUCCCCACUCUCAGGGUCUCCACUAUGGCGCAAAAUUGAAGACUCCCAGCAGCUCAUCCAAGCCAUUUGGGCAUUCCAGUGGUCUAGAUGGGUUCUGGGUGGCCCUAGCUGGAGGAGGAGGAGGUGAAUGGGAAGGUCUGCCAAAAUGAUAUUCUUACAGCAGAGGGCUGACCGAGUACCUCCUGAGCACAAGAAGGUUCCUAUUUUAAAGGUGAAGAAACCUAGAAUUCAGAGAAGUACAGUGACCUACCCAAAGCCACACAGCAAGUUAAUGCCAACCCUCAGUCACCAACCCCCAGCACCCAGCUUUGGAAGAAGAGCUGGAAUUGAAGCCUGAGAUCCUGCGUUUGAAUUCUGGGUUACCUCAGCUCGCCUCUCUGGGCCUUAGUUUCCCUUCACGUAAAAUAAGAAGGUUAGGCUAGAUGGCCCCUAACAUCACCUUGAGCUCUAGAACCGUGGUUCCUAAGUGGGAAACCAUGUGCUGCAUCACUGGCAAUCAUUCCUUUAUUCUGUUUUAUUUAGCUGUUUUCAUGGAUUGUAUUUCUCGGGGAGCUCAGUUGGGAGCAU